AUUGAACGCUGGCGGCAGGCUUAACACAUGCAAGUCGAGCGGAGAGAGGUAGCUUGCUACUGAUCUUAGCGGCGGACGGGUGAGUAAUGCUUAGGAAUCUGCCUAUUAGUGGGGGACAACAUUCCGAAAGGAAUGCUAAUACCGCAUACGUCCUACGGGAGAAAGCAGGGGAUCUUCGGACCUUGCGCUAAUAGAUGAGCCUAAGUCGGAUUAGCUAGUUGGUGGGGUAAAGGCCUACCAAGGCGACGAUCUGUAGCGGGUCUGAGAGGAUGAUCCGCCACACUGGGACUGAGACACGGCCCAGACUCCUACGGGAGGCAGCAGUGGGGAAUAUUGGACAAUGGGCGCAAGCCUGAUCCAGCCAUGCCGCGUGUGUGAAGAAGGCCUUAUGGUUGUAAAGCACUUUAAGCGAGGAGGAGGCUACUUUGGUUAAUACCUAGAGAUAGUGGACGUUACUCGCAGAAUAAGCACCGGCUAACUCUGUGCCAGCCGCCGCAGUAAAAC
rnacentral:rRNA from 1 species